AUUAGUUGAGUUCCUCCUUUGUUUGCGUCACCUUGAGAAGAGUCUCCUCACUGCAUUGAACGAGGUCAAGGGUCGUAUCCUAGACAACAACAGAAUCAUUACUGAGCUUGAGACUCUUAAGGAAGAGGCUGCAGAAGUUCAGAGGAAGAUGGAGGAGACUGAUACUAUAAUGGCUGAAGUUGACAGUCUCCCAGCAAUACCUGCCUCUCUCCACCUCCUGCUCUGCCAUGUACUUCACUCUGGAGUCACUCAAUCAGGUUCAUUUCUUGUACCAGUAUUCCUUGUAAUUCUUCCUGGACAUAUUUCAAAAUGUACUGACAGUCAAUCCUAAUCUGAAGGGACAGUCUGAUUAUGCUAAGAGGCUUAGGAUCAUCUCUCAGGAUUUAUUCCAGAUGGUGUACACUCGUGUUGCCAGAGGCAUGCUACAUGAUGAUAGAAUAGUCCUUGCUCUGUUACUGUGU